UUAGUUAGUUAAUCAGUGUUUCAAGUGUUGUACUUGUGUUUUCCAGGUCUACUUGUUCAGCUACUGCAGCCUGGACAGAGACACCAAUAUCACUUUACAGACAACAGGUGUCACCACUUCGUCCACAACAUUGUCCAGGAUGGCAGAGACGUCGUCCAUGACUGCAGAAACAUGGUCCAUGAUUGGAGAGACAUUGUUGAGGAUGAGGGAGACAUUGUCCAUGAUUCCAGAGACCUUGUCAAAGAUGAGAGAGACGUUGUCCACGAUCAGAGACAUUGUCCAUGAUUCGCAGAGGCAUGUGCAAAAGUCGGCAGUGACUGGGGUCCCCGAUUACACUGCAUCACCUGCACCUGCAUUGUCCACGAUUGCAGAGUGUCUUCUUACAGUGAAGAAGUUCUUUGAGGACAGGACAGAGGCCUCCAGGUGUCACCACUUUGUCCACGACAUCGUCCACAAUCGUCGAGACGUUGUCCAUGCCUCGCAGAGAUGUGUGCAAGAGCUCCCCGAUUCGACGGUAUUGGCCGUAAUCAGAGAGACAUUGUUGAGGAUGAGGGAGACAUCGUCCACCAUCGUAGAGAGUCUUUGUACAGUGAAGAAGUUGUUUGAGACCAGGACAUAGGCCUCCAGGAUUCAAACUUGAACCAUUAAAUCACGGAGUCGAGACAGAUGUGAACACAUUUCCAGAAGGUCUUCAGCUGCUGUCGACGGCGUCUUCUGCAGAGACAAGAGCACAUAUUGUGACAUGGAAUUAUCCUAACUAUGUUUUCCACAGAAACUCAUUCACACCUCUACAGUGUUUGUGGAUUAGGUUACACUUUCAUUUUGCUAUUUCAGUGCAAUAUCAGUACUCCAAGACGGUAAUCCAAUCUAUUACUGUGUACAUAGUUUUAUACUGUUCAUAUUGUGUAGAAUUUCUAUAAUGCCCUUUUCUAUUUUUGCUGUUGCAACACAGAAUUUUCCAAUUAUGUGACUGAUAAAGGAUUAUCUUACUCAAAUAAAUA